GAUUGCCUCAGCUAACGGCGAGUGAAGCGGCAACAGCUCAAAUUUGAAAUCUGGUCCCCCAGGGAUCCGAGUUGUAAUUUGUAGAGGAUGUUUCGGGCGCGGGGCCGGCCUAAGUCCCUUGGAACGGGGCGUCACAGAGGGUGAGAAUCCCGUCUGCAGCCGGCGCCUAAGCCUAUGUGAAACUCCUUCGACGAGUCGAGUUGUUUGGGAAUGCAGCUCUAAAUGGGUGGUAAGUUUCAUCUAAAGCUAAAUAUCGGCCAGAGACCGAUAGUGGACAAGUAGAGUGAUCGAAAGAUGAAAAGCACUUUGGAAAGAGAGUCAAAAAGUACGUGAAAUUGUUGAAAGGGAAGCGCUUGUAACCAGACCUGCGCGGGGGCGAUCAGCCGUCGUUCUCGGCGGUGCACUCGCCCCCGAUCAGGCCAGCAUCGGUUCGGGCGGCCGGAUAAAGGCCCUGGGAAUGUAGCUCCUCUCGGGGAGUGUUAUAGCCCUCGGUGCAAUGCGGCCCGCCCGGAUCGAGGACCGCGCUCCGGCUAGGAUGCUGGCGUAAUGGUUGCAAGCGGCCCGUCUUGAAACACGGACCAAGGAGUCUAACAUCUAUGCGAGUGUUUGGGCAUCAAACCCAUGCGCGCAAUGAAAGUGAACGGAGGUGAGAACCCCCCGGGGCGCAUCAUCGACCGAUCCAGAUGUCUUCGGAUGGAUUUGAGUACGAGCAUUGAUAUUAGGACCCGAAAGUAAAUAACCCCCCUCUUCCGUUCUUUAUAUGUAGUUUGUAGGCUGACUUGAAACCCAGGAUGGUGAACUAUGCCUGAAUAGGGUGAAGCCAGAGGAAACUCUGGUGGAGGCUCGCAGCGGUUCUGACGUGCAAAUCGAUCGUCAAAUUUGGGUAUAGGGGCGAAAGACUUAUCGAA
rnacentral:rRNA from 1 species